UGCGAGAAUGACAAUUCGAGCAGGUGCGAAAGCAGGUCAUAGUGAUCCGGUGGUUCUGUAUGGAAGGGCCAUCGCUCAACGGAUAAAAGGUACUCCGGGGAUAACAGGCUGAUACCGCCCAAGAGUUCAUAUCGACGGCGGUGUUUGGCACCUCGAUGUCGGCUCAUCACAUCCUGGGGCUGAAGUCGGUCCCAAGGGUAUGGCUGUUCGCCAUUUAAAGUGGUACGCGAGCUGGGUUUAGAACGUCGUGAGACAGUUCGGUCCCUAUCUGCCGUGGGCGUUGGAAGAUUGAAGGGGGCUGCUCCUAGUACGAGAGGACCGGAGUGGACGAACCUCUGGUGUUCGGGUUGUGUCGCCAGACGCAUUGCCCGGUAGCUAAGUUCGGAAUCGAUAACCGCUGAAAGCAUCUAAGCGGGAAGCGAGCCCUGAGAUGAGUCUUCCCUGAUACUUUAAGUAUCCUAAAGGGUUGUUCG
rnacentral:rRNA from 1 species